rnacentral:rRNA from 1 species
UACGUAGGGUGCGAGCGUUAAUCGGAAUUACUGGGCGUAAAGCGUGCGCAGGCGGUUCGUUGUGUCGGCGGUGAAAGCCCCGGGCUCAACCUGGGAAUGGCCGUUGAAACUGGCGAACUGGAGUGUGGCAGAGGGGGGUGGAAUUCCGCGUGUAGCAGUGAAAUGCGUAGAGAUGCGGAGGAACACCGAUGGCGAAGGCGGCAUCCUGGACCAACACUGACACUGAGGAGCGAAAGCCAGGGGAGCAAACGGG